rnacentral:hammerhead_ribozyme from 1 species
GCACUGCUGAAGAGUCCCACAAUAGGACGUCACGGCUGUCCAAUAC